GUGAGAGUCCAUCUCAAAAAAACAAAAAAAACAAAAAACAUAGCUUUCAUACAGGUAUAAAAUGAACACAGUGUAUUCAUUUUACUUAACUCAGAUGCUAUAACUGGUUCAAAGGACAAUCUGAAGAACACAUUUAUAGAUGAGAAAUACUGAAAUAAACUUGCGAAUGGACAAAAAAAGUUGGCUUUCCUACAAGGUAGGGAGCAUUCCCUGUACCAGACAGAAUUCAUUUCCUGCCUGUAGACAGGCGCGCUUGCAUCGCCAGCAGCUCUUUACAACUUACGAAGUUGUAAAACAGCUCCCAAGCAAUGAAGGCUGCAAGCAGAUAAGCUGGCAGGGCCGUGAGCAGGCCUCAAAUGGAGUUUUUCAAUGAAGCACAAAUGUUCCCCUACAGAACCGAGAUGUCUCUUUAAAAGAAAUCAUGAAAGAAAAGGGGAUUAAGUGGAGCUUAUGGGCUGCUCCAGGGUUAAGUGGCCUCCAGAAUAAACAGGACUGCUCGAUCCUCAGAGUGAAUUUUGGGUGGGGUUUGAACGAGUUCCUGCUUUCCUCUGCUAAUGGUGACAUAAAAUGACCAUUUCAUACCCAUGGAUAUACACUGACGUGUACAUAGAAGUUGCGGGGGCAGUGGCAGACGCCAGAGGACUUUCUCUGCCGUGAGCUCCUCCUAGGAGCCCUGGGUUGCAGGGGGUGAGGACUGCUAGGAAAGUCUGUCAGUUAAGGCCGAAGGGACAUUAGCUUUGCUUUAAAACACAUUGCCUGUGCUUGCGUUUGUGUCUUCAUCUGAUUUAAUGGGUUUUAGCUCAGACUCUCCAAAUCUAUUUACCUACAAGUCUGUUAAGGCAGACUGUGUUGUUGACAAAGCAGAACAGAAUUUCCCCACGGCUUCUAGCUUCAAGGAAUCCCAGCUAUUUAUCCAUCACCAAGAAGGGAAGCCCCAUGGGUGGUUGAUGGUUCAUUUACUCCAGCCCAGGGGGUUGGAUUUCAAUUAGUGCAUUUGCUUUUCCCUCUAGGUAGAGCUCACCCUUUAAAGUCGCUUCUUGGCUCUCUAACAGUUUUAACAUGCACUUUCCCAUCUCAACAACAAUACAGUGCGUGUCUUACAGGGCUGCAGUUCUCACUCACAGCAUUCUUCCUCUGAGCGGUCCAGGAAACACGGGCAGGCCUUACAGUCAAGGCACCUCAGAUUUAAAGUAUGGAGUAUGCGAAACCUUCCUAACUGGUAAAGCGCUCAGUAAUGCAAAUUCUGGGUGCAACUCAGUGGUUCUUAGUCUAGUCAGAGUUAUGCAAUCAUCAGCACAAUCUACUCACACCUUCCUCAAGGUAUGACAUAAACAUUUCUGAAUCCACAAUGCGGACAAUCUCAUUAAUAACUUUAUUGAAUCCUGUAGCCCAGCACUGGGGGUCCUCUACAGCCCCACCCCGCCUUCCCCUCCAAUCGCAGUGCCCACUGUCUCUUUUAAAUAGACUCUGUCCUCAUCAAGCCUGUUCUCUGUCCCCCAAAUAUGCCAUAUCAUUCCUUAAUGCACGCCUUUUUUCCCCCAGUUCCCUGCAAUCUUAUAAUUAGUGGUGACACCAAUCUAUAUGUGUUAAAACUCAUAGAAUUGUAUACAAAACAGUCAAUUGUACUGUGUACAUACAUUUAAAAGAUAAUAUGUGUUCUUUUAACGCU